rnacentral:rRNA from 1 species
AGCAGCCGCGGUAAUUCCAGCUCCAAUAGCGUAUAUUAAAGUUGUUGCAGUUAAAAAGCUCGUAGUUGAAUUUCGGGGUUAGUAGGUUGGUCAUGCCUCUGGUAUGUACUGGUCUCACUGAUUCCUCCUUCCUGAUGAGCCGUAAUGCCAUUAAUUUGGUGUUGCGGGGAAUUUGGACUGUUACUUUGAAAAAAUUAGAGUGUUUAAAGCAAGCUAACGCUUGAAUACAUUAGCAUGGAAUAAUGAAAUAGGACGUUCGAUCCUAUUUUGUUGGUUUCUAGGAUUGACGUAAUGAUUAAUAGGGAUAGUUGGGGGCAUUAGUAUUCAAUUGUCAGAGGUGAAAUUCUUGGAUUUAUUGAAGACUAACUACUGCGAAAGCAUUUGCCAAGGAUGUUUUCAUUAAUCAAGAACGAAAGUUAGGGGAUCGAAGACGAUCAGAUACCGUCAUAGUCUUAACCAUAAACUAUGCCGACUAGGGAUCGGAUGAUGUUAAUUUUUUAAUGACUC